GAUGAACGCUGGCGGCGUGCCUAAUACAUGCAAGUCGAGCGAACAGACGAGGAGCUUGCUCCUUUGACGUUAGCGGCGGACGGGUGAGUAACACGUGGGUAACCUACCUAUAAGACUGGGAUAACUUCGGGAAACCGGAGCUAAUACCGGAUAAUAUUUCGAACCGCAUGGUUCGAUAGUGAAAGAUGGCUUUGCUAUCACUUAUAGAUGGACCUGCGCCGUAUUAGCUAGUUGGUAAGGUAACGGCUUACCAAGGAAACGAUACGUAGCCGACCUGAGAGGGUGACCGGCCACACUGGAGCUGAGACACGGUCCAGACUCCUACGGGAGGCAGCAGUAGGGAAGCUUCCGCAAUGGGCGAAAGCCUGACGGAGCAACGCCGCGUGGGUGAUGAAGGUCUUCGGAUCGUAAAACUCUGUUAUUAGGGAAGAACAAACGUGUAAGUAACUGUGCACGUCUUGACGGUACCUAAUCAGAAAGCCACGGCUAACUACGUG
rnacentral:rRNA from 1 species